rnacentral:miRNA from 1 species
GGGGUAAGCCAGUCCCUAUUUC